GUGCUUUUGUGAUAACCCUUUACUACUUGCUUUUGUUGCUCAGAUUGUUCUAGCUGUGGCUGUCAGAAGUUCUUGCAGUUGGCUCCUGUGUCCCUUUGACAUACCUCUUUCAUUGUGGAUUAGUUUUUUUUUGUUUUUUUUAUUGUGGAUUAGUUUUUGCUCUUUUCUUCUUUCUCUCUCUUCCUCUGAAUACAGUACUUCAUCACUUUCUGGUUAUAUAAAUUUUAGAAUCAUCUCGUUAAAACCCCAUUAAAAAUCUUGCAGGUUCUGAUCAUGCAUUGAAUCCACAAAUCAAUUUGGGAAAGCACAUAUCUUUAGAAUACAUAUUAAACUCCUUUGCUGUGCUUGUAUUUUUUAUUGGAUUAUGAGUCUUCUUUAUAUACACUUGAAUUUCAUCAAACUGAAUCUAUUUACAGGCAAAAGAUCUUACUUUUAAAGCAGUCAAAUGGAGCCUGCCACAUCACAGAUCCCAGCUCUUCUGUUCAGACCUGCGACUGUGCACUUUGAAUUCUGAAAAGGAAUUGACUUUGCUUACUGCACAUUUGCUGCCAUCCGGUGGUUGUUCUUCUUUAUUGCAAGCUGAGGAAAUCCCAGCCCGAAGUCAAUACGUGGCACAUCCAGAGGACUUGGAGUAAUGUACAUUCCCAGGAUCAUUGCUGCCCAGGGCGGAGGCCCAUGAGGGUGGCCCAGAAGUUUCUAGCCAAGGACAGGGCAGGAAGUCUCCACGCCAUCCCUGCUGCCACGUGGUCUGCGCCUGCCCUGGGUUCUGUCAGGCCAGUGCUGGGGGCGGGGGGGC
ensembl:lincRNA